UAAAUUGAUAAAUUGUUUUGGAUUAGUGUUUUGGGUUUGAUUUGCCUUUUGCAUCAUGCUUAGUGGAUUUUUAAAGGGUAUCCUUUUAACCGAAUAGUUUAGAUCUUAGUAUUAGUUGUUUGGAAUAUAUUCUAAGUUGAGUAAAUUUAGAUAAACUAAUUUUAUGAUGUGAUAAGUUAUUCGUUAAAUUAUAUAUCUGUUUAGUUGCUUCGAUGUUUGUGAAUUACGUGAUAAGUUAGAAGAUUUAUUAUGAUGUUAUACUUCAAAUAUGUUUGUAUUAGUAGAAUUAGGUUAAAAGUACCUAUUUUUUGUGAGUUUGUUAUAAAAGUUAUUUAAUUUUAGUUGUGGGGUUAAUUUGUGUGGCAGCUUGAUCUAACAUAUAGUAUUUUAUUUAUCAUUAAAUUAGUAAUUACAAUAUACUAAUUAUUUCUCAGGGUCUUUCCGUCUGUUUAUUAAAAACAUUUCUAACUAAAAUAGUAGUUAGUAGUGCCUGCCCAGUGUUAAUUGUAAUAAAUGGCCGCAGUAUCUUGACUGUGCAAAGGUAGCAUAAUUAAUUGCCUUUUAAUUGGGGGCUUGUUUGAAAGGUUUGACGUGUGAGAUGUGAAUAUUUGGUAUUGGUUUGAAUUUGAUGAUGGGGAUACAGAAUUCCCUUAGUUUUAAUAAGACGGAAAGACCCUGGGAUCUUUCUUUUUUGCUUGGGGCAAGUUUUAUUUUUUCAAUAAAAUUAAGACCCUAUUAAUGGUUUAAUGAGCUAAGUUACCCCAGGGAUAACAGUGUAAUGAUUAAUAAGAGAUCAUAUCGAAUUAAUUGUUUGCUACCUCGAUGUUGACUUAGGUUAGGAUUCAGGUGCAGUAGUCUGGAUUUUUGGUCUGUUCGACCAUAUUUGCCUUCAUGAGUUGAGUUAAGACCGGCGUGAGCCAGGUCGGUUCUUAUCUAUUGUAGAAGUUUAUCAGUACGAAAGGAUAGUAAGCUUUUUUGUU
rnacentral:rRNA from 1 species